UACAGAGGGGGCAAGCGUUGUUCGGAAUUACUGGGCGUAAAGGGCGCGUAGGCGGCCCGCUAAGUCGAACGUGAAAUCCCCGGGCUCAACCCGGGAACUGCGUCCGAUACUGGCAGGCUUGAAUCCGGGAGAGGGAUGCGGAAUUCCAGGUGUAGCGGUGAAAUGCGUAGAUACCUGGAGGAACACCGGUGGCGAAGGCGGCAUCCUGGACCGGCAUUGACGCUGAGGCGCGAAAGCCAGGGGAGCAAACGGG
rnacentral:rRNA from 1 species